GAUGAACGCUGGCGGCGUGCCUAAUACAUGCAAGUCGAGCGAACAGACAAGGAGCUUGCUCCUUUGACGUUAGCGGCGGACGGGUGAGUAACACGUGGGUAACCUACCUAUAAGACUGGGAUAACUUCGGGAAACCGGAGCUAAUACCGGAUAAUAUUUCGAACCGCAUGGUUCGAUAGUGAAAGAUGGUUUUGCUAUCACUUAUAGAUGGACCCGCGCCGUAUUAGCUAGUUGGUAAGGUAACGGCUUACCAAGGCGACGAUACGUAGCCGACCUGAGAGGGUGAUCGGCCACACUGGAACUGAGACACGGUCCAGACUCCUACGGGAGGCAGCAGUAGGGAAUCUUCCGCAAUGGGCGAAAGCCUGACGGAGCAACGCCGCGUGAGUGAUGAAGGUCUUCGGAUCGUGAAACUCUGUUAUUAGGGAAGAACAUACAUGUAAGUAACUAUGCACGUCUUGACGGUACCUAAUCAGAAAGCCACGGCUAACUACGUGCCAGCAGCCGCGGUAAUACGUAGGUGGCAAGCGUUAUCCGGAAUUAUUGGGCGUAAAGCGCGCGUAGGCGGUUUUUUAAGUCUGAUGUGAAAGCCCACGGCUCAACCGUGGAGGGUCAUUGGAAACUGGAAAACUUGAGUGCAGAAGAGGAAAGUGGAAUUCCAUGUGUAGCGGUGAAAUGCGCAGAGAUAUGGAGGAACACCAGUGGCGAAGGCGACUUUCUGGUCUGUAACUGACGCUGAUGUGCGAAAGCGUGGGGAUCAAACAGGAUUAGAUACCCUGGUAGUCCACGCCGUAAACGAUGAGUGCUAAGUGUUAGGGGGUUUCCGCCCCUUAGUGCUGCAGCUAACGCAUUAAGCACUCCGCCUGGGGAGUACGACCGCAAGGUUGAAACUCAAAGGAAUUGACGGGGACCCGCACAAGCGGUGGAGCAUGUGGUUUAAUUCGAAGCAACGCGAAGAACCUUACCAAAUCUUGACAUCCUUUGACAACUCUAGAGAUAGAGCCUUCCCCUUCGGGGGACAAAGUGACAGGUGGUGCAUGGUUGUCGUCAGCUCGUGUCGUGAGAUGUUGGGUUAAGUCCCGCAACGAGCGCAACCCUUAAGCUUAGUUGCCAUCAUUAAGUUGGGCACUCUAAGUUGACUGCCGGUGACAAACCGGAGGAAGGUGGGGAUGACGUCAAAUCAUCAUGCCCCUUAUGAUUUGGGCUACACACGUGCUACAAUGGACAAUACAAAGGGCAGCGAAACCGCGAGGUCAAGCAAAUCCCAUAAAGUUGUUCUCAGUUCGGAUUGUAGUCUGCAACUCGACUACAUGAAGCUGGAAUCGCUAGUAAUCGUAGAUCAGCAUGCUACGGUGAAUACGUUCCCGGGUCU
rnacentral:rRNA from 1 species